GAUGAACGCUGGCGGCGUGCCUAAUACAUGCAAGUCGAGCGAACAGACGAGGAGCUUGCUCCUCUGACGUUAGCGGCGGACGGGUGAGUAACACGUGGAUAACCUACCUAUAAGACUGGGAUAACUUCGGGAAACCGGAGCUAAUACCGGAUAACAUGUUGAACCGCAUGGUUCAACAGUGAAAGACGGUCUUGCUGUCACUUAUAGAUGGAUCCGCGCCGCAUUAGCUAGUUGGUAAGGUAACGGCUUACCAAGGCAACGAUGCGUAGCCGACCUGAGAGGGUGAUCGGCCACACUGGGACUGAGACACGGGCCAGACUCCUACGGGAGGCAGCAGUAGGGAAUCUUCCGCAAUGGGCGAAAGCCUGACGGAGCAACGCCGCGUGAGUGAAGAAGGUCUUCGGAUCGUAAAACUCUGUUAUUAGGGAAGAACAAAUGUGUAAGUAACUAUGCACGUCUUGACGGUACCUAAUCAGAAAGCCACGGCUAACUACGUG
rnacentral:rRNA from 1 species